rnacentral:rRNA from 2 species
UGAUGGAGCACGCCGCGUGAGUGAAGAAGGGUUUCGGCUCGUAAAACUCUGUUGUUAAAGAAGAACAUAUCUGAGAGUAACUGUUCAGGUAUUGACGGUAUUUAACCAGAAAGCCACGGCUAACUACGUGCCAGCAGCCGCGGUAAUACGUAGGUGGCAAGCGUUGUCCGGAUUUAUUGGGCGUAAAGCGAGCGCAGGCGGUUUUUUAAGUCUGAUGUGAAAGCCUUCGGCUCAACCGAAGAAGUGCAUCGGAAACUGGGGAACUUGAGUGCAGAAGAGGACAGUGGAACUCCAUGUGUAGCGGUGAAAUGCGUAGAUAUAUGGAAGAACACCAGUGGCGAAGGCGGCUGUCUGGUCUGUAACUGACGCUGAGGCUCGAAAGUAUGGGUAGCAAACAGGAUUAGAUACCCUGGUAGUCCAUGCCGUAAACGAUGAAUGCUAAGUGUUGGAGGGUUUCCGCCCUUCAGUGCUGCAGCUAACGCAUUAAGCAUUCCGCCUGGGGAGUACGGCCGCAAGGCUGAAACUCAAAGGAAUUGACGGGGGCCCGCACAAGCGGUGGAGCAGUGGUU